rnacentral:tRNA from 1 species
UCCCUGGUGGCUCAGAGGUUAAAGCAUUUGCCUGUGAUGCAGGGAGACCUGGGUUCAAUCCCUGGGUUGGGAA